AAAUAAUGUCUCUUGUACUGGAGACAAAUUACCUUUUUCCCUCAUUACUUUUACUUCACUUUGAGACCGUGAAGGCUCUGGAGAAGGAAAGGCAUUUUUGUUUUCAAACUCUGUGGUUACAUUGGGAUAUUCUCCAGAAACGAUUGAUUAGAACAUUUGAAAAAACAUUACCAUCUUGGAUAUAAUUCUUCUCAGAAGAAGAGAAGAUCAAGCACUGAAAAGUUAUGGCAAUUCAACUCGAAUUUGGACUUUAAAACUUCUUUGAAAAUGUUUAAUCCUGUGUU